rnacentral:rRNA from 1 species
AUUGAACGCUGGCGGAAUGCUUUACACAUGCAAGUCGAGCGGCAGCGCGGGGGCAACCCUGGCGGCGAGCGGCGAACGGGUGAGUAACAUAUCGGAACGUACCCUGUCGUGGGGGAUAACUAUCCGAAAGGAUAGCUAAUACCGCAUACGACCUGAGGGUGAAAGCGGGGGACCGCAAGGCCUCGCGCGAUAGGAGCGGCCGAUAUCGGAUUAGCUAGUUGGUGAGGUAAAGGCUCACCAAGGCGACGAUCCGUAGCGGGUCUGAGAGGACGACCCGCCACACUGGAACUGAGACACGGUCCAGACUCCUACGGGAGGCAGCAGUGGGGAAUUUUGGACAAUGGGGGCAACCCUGAUCCAGCCAUUCCGCGUGAGUGAAGAAGGCCUGGUUGUAAGACUCUUCUAGCAGGACGAAACGGUAGAGGGUUAAGUACC